rfam:Oryza glumipatula chromosome 12, whole genome shotgun sequence.
AAUAAGUGUAGUUUUGCACAAUUCACGUUCAACGUUUGACCGUUCGUCUUAUUUAAAACUUUUUUAUGAUUAGUAUUUUUAUUGCUAUUAGAUGAUAAAACAUAAAUAGUACUUUAUGUGUGACUAAAUAUUUUCAAUUUUUUCAAUAAGACGGACGGUUAAAUGUUGGGCAUGAAUAUAUCCACGGCUACACUUAUU